rnacentral:rRNA from 1 species
UACGAAGGGGGCUAGCGUUGUUCGGAAUCACUGGGCGUAAAGCGCACGUAGGCGGACUCUUAAGUCGGUGGUGAAAUCCUGGAGCUCAACUCCAGAACUGCCUUCGAUACUGAGAGUCUCGAGUCCGGGAGAGGUGAGUGGAACUGCGAGUGUAGAGGUGAAAUUCGUAGAUAUUAGGAAGAACACCAGUGGCGAAGGCGGCUCACUGGCCCGGUACUGACGCUG